rnacentral:lncRNA from 1 species
GGGGCAUUCUACACACAGUUGAUAAUUUCCAGAGUAGAGACUUGAAUUUUCAGUUUGGCAUUGAAUCUUGAUAACGGACAACUUCGAAAGAAAAUGAUGUCCAGAUCAGUGGGUUUAGCACUGCUUGUCCUAGCCGGCGUUAUAAGUUCCGUCUUAGCUUGCUCGUGUAUUCCUCAAAGUGAAAAGGACUUGUUCUGCAAGGCUGAUUUUGCUAUAGCGUUUAAGGCCAAGGACAAUGGUAUAGUUGAAUGCAAUACCAGAGUUUAUCAGGUGGAGUUGCUCAGAAUGUAUAGAACAGUGCCAUUCAAAAACUUAGAUACAGAUAAGAUAUAUACCCCACUUCACACGUGUGGAGUUACCUUUACCGGCAGAUGAGUUCUACGUUAUCUCAGGACAUUACAACGCAACAGCUGGCCAGCCAACACGAAUGCAAGCCCACCGCUGUGCGCUAAACCUACAAAUGCCUUAUGAUCCAAGGCUUAUAUACAUCCCUCCUAAGUGUGACACACCAGAGCCACAGAAUGGAUAUGGAACUGGGUAAAUUGGAUGAAAGAGGAUCGGACAACUUUUUAAAGUACACCACGUACUUAAUAAUUUGCAUUUGAUGAUAAUAAUUGUUUCAGCAGAUGAUCAAGUAAAUUUUGUUCACUUUCUAUAUUUAAGAAAAACCACGGUAUUACCUGCAUUCACAAAGUGUACAAAUUAUGUAAAUCGUUAAACAAACUCUUUGAAAAAUCUCAAAACUGUAUCAAUAUAGGUUGCAAAAAUGUAUGAAAACUAGGCGAUAUAUAUUGCAAAUCGACCGAUAUACAUUUAACAACACUAAUUGGAAAACUAAGCAAAGUACCAUCAUUUUUAUAACUCUUAUAAUGUGUUCUUCUGGAUUCUGAUAUUCAUCCUUUGGCAUUAGUUUUUAUUAAACUGUUGAUUACACCUACAAUUCACUUCUUGCCAAUAUGAUGAAAAGGCCAAUAAAAUAGCAGCAUUUGAGCAGUAGUGAGUUACGUUAGCUUAGUCGCUCGUGGUAGGAAAUGGAGACAGUAAUGGACAUGUAACCAAACAUGUGAAUAUUGUGUCAUAAGCCCAAGCAUGCAGAAUGUAAUUUUCAGGAGCUAUAUUCAGUGCUCUUGGUGGUUUUGGAAUGCCUUCUGUUUCUUCUACCUAAGGACAUUGUUUCUGCUACAGAAUAGUCUCUUUAAGCACAGUCAAUGGAUUUUCCUUUUCUAAAACUUAGGACUUUUGUUUUUAUUACUAUUAAGCUGCUUUCAAACAUCUUUUUGGAUUCUGGUAUGCCUACAUUUUGAUGAACAUCUACAUGAUCAUUUCCUAACCUUCAUUAAGGUUUUGAGCGGUUAGGACCAUAACAUCAAAAUAUAUGGUAUCAUAGUUGUGCACUCACUCAAGACUGUAAGGUAUUCAGAACAUUGUGACCACUGAUCAUAUUUCUGGUGUUCUUGUAUAUAAUUGAACUUUAAUAUGUUUCCGCACCAAAUUUUCAUAGUUUUAAUGGUAUUUUAUUCUCCGCACCAAACAAUAUAAAACAAUGUUUUAUAAAAGUUUGAAUUGUAACUAUGGUCAUCAGAUAGACAAUGAUUUAACUAAAAAAUGUUACUGCCAUUUUUCGAAUAUAACUCCUAUCCGAGGGGUUCAAAGAAAGGGGUUCGGCUAAAGAAAUGAAACUGUUUGAAUAAAUAGAUAGUGGAAAUGCAUCAAAAUGUCAA